rnacentral:sRNA from 1 species
ACGUUCUUCUACUACAGAUUCACUUUGCCUCCAAACCUGACAUUGAAGAACUUUGAAGGACUUGACCUCGGAAAGAUGGACGAGGCAAGCAUCUAUCA